CCGGGCCGUUGGACUGCGCGUGCGCGGUACCUGUGGCAGCGGUAACCCCCGCCCCCGCCGGAGGUGUGCAGCACCUGAAUUGCCAGCACCUUGUUCUUUGUGCUCCUAGGUCACUGAUGUUUGUUGUGUGCAUGGAAUAUCAUGCUUGCUGGAUCAAUGUGAGAGAUCUUGACUGGUGCAUCUCAGAUCAUGUGUUGAAAGAAAUGUGCAUCCCAGUGAAGAAGAGAUCCCUGUGGCUACCACUCUGCUGCAUCAUCACAUCCAGAUGGGAUCUGUUGUCCUUCCUACUCAAAGCCAGUUUGAUGUCACAGAGGGACCACACGAUUUCCCUGAGCUCUGCUGUCAGGUUCAGGGCUUCUGCAGCCCAGGGCUCAGCUGGCCUUGACCCUGGGCUGGUUUUGUGCAGCUCUGUUCCCUGACCUUGGUUCACUGUCACUGAGGAAGCUGUCACUGAGCUCUGAGAGUCUGUAAACUGAAACUGUGCAAGAUAAGAAAAGUAAAAACAAGCAGAACUGAAUAUGCUGAGCUGGAAACUGUCUCAGGGAUUGGGGACAAAUAAUGACAUGGAAUCUAAAAAUCUAAGGGAGAAAGCAAAGGCUUAGAAAAUGGCACCUCUGCAACUGUGAGGACUUGUACUGAUUUACUGGGGUAUUUUGACAUGAAUGAAAGACAUUUCUUAUUAAAUAUAAAGUGUGCAACAUCAAUAAAAAGCAACAGAA
rnacentral:lncRNA from 1 species